AUGCUUGCUUCGGUGGCACAUACACUAAUUCUGGAAUGAUACAGAGAUUAGUGUGCCCCUGCACAAGGAUGACACACAGAUUCGUGAAGUGUUCCAUAAAAAG
ensembl:snRNA U6 U6 spliceosomal RNA